rnacentral:rRNA from 1 species
CAGUCGCCGCGGUAAUACGAAGGGGGCUAGCGUUGUUCGGAAUCACUGGGCGUAAAGCGCACGUAGGCGGACUUUUAAGUCAGGGGUGAAAUCCCAAGGCUCAACCUUGGAACUGCCUUUGAUACUGGAAGUCUUGAGUUCGGGAGAGGUGAGUGGAACUGCGAGUGUAGAGGUGAAAUUCGUAGAUAUUCGCAAGAACACCAGUGGCGAAGGCGGCUCACUGGCCCGAUACUGACGCUGAGGUGCGAAAGCGUGGGGAGCAAACAGGAUUAGAUACCCCCGUAGUCCCUGUCUCUUAUAC